GACCUGGUGGUGAAAGGCAUCACACCCACUCUUAUUACGAUCGAAUGAAUGCAUUUGUGGGGAUCCCCGGUUCGAGUCCGGGUCAGGUCA